CCUCCUUCUCUCUCCCCUCUCCUCCAGACUGCACCAGCCAAACUAAGCCCUGUGAGGGCCAGUGAGUACCAGCUAACGAUAUACAAAGGAUCUAUUCAGCCCAGCCUGACGAAAGGGGAACGUUUUAAAGAAAGAAGACGAGACCAACGGGAAAGGGAUCCUGUCAGGUUGGAGUAGAAAGAAGACGAGACCAACGGGAAAGGGAUCCUGUCAGGUUGGAUUAGAAAGAAGACGAGACCAACGGAAAGGGAUCCUGUCAGGUUGGAGUAGAAAGAAGAUGAGACCAACGGAAAGGGAUCCUGUCAGGUUGGAGUAGAAAGAAGACGAGACCAACAGGAUCCUGUCAGGUUGGAGUAGAAAGAAGACGAGACCAACAGGAUCCUGUCAGGUUGGAGUAGAAAGAAGACAAGAGCAACGGAAAGGGAUCCUGUCAGGUUGGAGUAGAAAGAAGACGAGACGAACGGGAUCCUGUCAGGUUGGAGUAGAAAGAAGACGAGACCAACGGAAAGGGAUCCUGUUAGGUUGGAGUAGAAAGAAGACGAGAUCAACGGGAAAGGGAUCCUGUCAGGUUGGAGUAGAAAGAAGACGAGACCAACGGAAAGGGAUCCUGUCAGGUUGGAGUAGAAAGAAGACGAG
ensembl:lncRNA